rnacentral:lncRNA from 1 species
GCAGUAUGAAAUCUAUAAACUCACUCGUAGGUUAUAAUCGAGAUCAUCCUUAAAUUCAGACAAUAAACUCAGGUAGUAUGAAACUAACUGCAAUUAAAAGACAAGCAUCCAUCAAAACAUGAGUGGAAUAAGAAGUUGGAGACGCAGAAGCAGAAGCAAACCUCGUAUGAUUCCUUUCAAAAUGAGCUUGAUUAGAGAGAGAAAAAUGGAUAUGGAUGUGGAUCCGAAUGAAUCUAAUGUGGUUGAUCUCUAUAAGUUACCGAAAUUCCUCAUCUUUUAUGUCUGAGAGAGAGAGAGAGAGGUGAGUUGGAUUGGCUUUUUUCAGUUAUUAUUUUACUGCUGUCGGUUUAUUACCUUCUCCCUUUCACGUGCAAAACUUUGCACCACGUAGAAUUUUUCAAUAUAA